GAUGAACGCUGGCGGCGUGCCUAAUACAUGCAAGUCGAGCGAACAGACGAGGAGCUUGCUCCUCUGACGUUAGCGGCGGACGGGUGAGUAACACGUGGAUAACCUACCUAUAAGACUGGGAUAACUUCGGGAAACCGGAGCUAAUACCGGAUAAUAUAUUGAACCGCAUGGUUCAAUAGUGAAAGACGGUUUUGCUGUCACUUAUAGAUGGAUCCGCGCCGCAUUAGCUAGUUGGUAAGGUAACGGCUUACCAAGGCGACGAUGCGUAGCCGACCUGAGAGGGUGAUCGGCCACACUGGAACUGAGACACGGUCCAGACUCCUACGGGAGGCAGCAGUAGGGAAACGUCCGCAAUGGGCGAAAGCCUGGCGGAGCAACGCCGCGUGAGUGAUGAAGGGCUUCGGAUCGUAAAACUCUGUUAUUAGGGAAGAACAAAUGUGUAAGUAACUAUGCACGUCUUGACGGUACCUAAUCAGAAAGCCACGGCUAACUACGUG
rnacentral:rRNA from 1 species